AUACGGAGGGUGCAAGCGUUAAUCGGAAUUACUGGGCGUAAAGCGUACGUAGGCGGUCAUUUAAGUCAGAUGUGAAAGCCCCGGGCUUAACUUGGGAACUGCAUUUGAAACUGGGUAACUAGAGUUUAGUAGAGGGGAGUGGAAUUUCAGGUGUAGCGGUGAAAUGCGUAGAGAUCUGAAGGAACACCAGUGGCGAAGGCGACUCCCUGGACUAGAACUGACGCUGAGGUACGAAAGCGUGGGUAGCAAACAGGAUUAGAAACCCUAGUAGUCC
rnacentral:rRNA from 1 species